GACGAACGCUGGCGGCGUGCUUAACACAUGCAAGUCGAACGGAAAGGCCCUGCUUUUGUGGGGUGCUCGAGUGGCGAACGGGUGAGUAACACGUGAGUAACCUGCCCUUGACUUUGGGGUAACUUCAGGAAACUGGGGCUAAUACCGGAUAGGAGCUCCUGCUGCAUGGUGGGGGGUGGAAAGUUUCGGCGGUUGGGGAUGGACUCGCGGCUUAUCAGCUUGUCGGUGGGGUAGUGGCUUACCAAGGCUUUGACGGGUAGCCGGCCUGAGAGGGUGACCGGCCACAUUGGGACUGAGAUACGGCCCAGACUCCUACGGGAGGCAGCAGUGGGGAAUAUUGCACAAUGGGCGGAAGCCUGAUGCAGCAACGCCGCGUGCGGGAUGACGGCCUUCGGGUUGUAAACCGCUUUCGCCUGUGACGAAGCGUGAGUGACGGUAAUGGGUAAAGAAGCACCGGCUAACUACGUG
rnacentral:rRNA from 1 species